GCCUGAGGACAAAGUGAAUGGAAAUGUGCUUUCACGAGACCUCGCCAUUUUUUCUGUUCCUCUUUGAAUGAAUACAGUAUUGUCCGGUUGGAAUAUUAUCGCUAUUUUACGAGAAAAGUACCAUUAAAAUUGAUUUUAAACAGUGUUUGACAUGCUUCUAAGUACGGUAAUGGAACAUUUUGAUUUUUUUUGUCUGGAAAUGCGCUCGCGCUUUACCCUUUUGAUAGUGACCUAAACGCACGAACAAAAUGGGGGUAUUUGCACAUAACUAUGGAUUAUUUGGAACAAAAACAACAUUUGUUGUGAAAGUAGCAGUCCUGGGAGUGCAUUCUGACUAAGAACAGCAAAGGACUGCUGCUGACUGGAUGUUUUUGAUUGUAACACCAUUCUCGGUAAACCCUAGACACUGUCGUGUGUGAAAAGCCCAGGAGGGCAGCCAUUUCUGAGAUACUGGAUCCGGCGAACUUUGCACCGACGAUCAUACCACGCUCAAAGGGCUUGUGUGGUGAAUGGACGGUAUGUGCCUGCAAGAUUUCUGGCUGCCAGGACCACGGACAGCAGUGGGAAGUAUUCCCCAGAGGCAGCACCACGUACAGCUCAGGGGCAAACUGCCAGACUGCAGCAGAACAGCCACACCUGUUUGCAGUUGUGAACGAGGAGCAGGAGGAGGAGGAGGAGGAGGAGGAGGAGGAGGAGGAGGAGGAGGAGGAGGAGGAGGAGGUGGUGGUGGUGGUUUACCGGAAUAAAGAAACUGAGAUUUGAAUAUGGAGUGAACCCUAAAGACCCAGAGUGGAGGACUUUCCACUGGUGACAACAUUUUUACUUUCGGAAAAAAAAGGUGCAGAGGCAUAUCAUUCACGUUUGCAUGAUAGAUGAUCAGAAUAAGCUGAUCAAAGCUUGACUGUUGGAAUUGUCAUUGAGGACCAUAUGAAUAAUUUAGCACAUUAAUAUGAAUUAAAUAAUGAUCAAAAUGAUGCAUUACUUCAUUUGGUGUACCUACAGAGGAAUGGUGUUUCUCAAAAGACCCAGCUUUUUGAAGUACAUGGUCCUAUCUUUAGACUCAAGACAUAUGGCCCAUUUAAAUGGUAAUUGUCAUUAGAAUGUGUAGAUACUCCAGAGCACCCAGCAUCCAGAGCGCAGCGGAUAAGAAACCUUGACAUAUGACAGUCUUUACAAGGCUUUCUUCAAAGGUGAAAAGUGCUGAGAUUUAACAAUGUUAAGUGGAAGAAGUAUGUUGUGUCAGGAAUCAAAUGUAAUUUCCUUCGAAUGAGGAAGUGGCAUGAACACAGAGGGUGCAUUUGGAUUGUUUCUGAGAUGUUGCUAGAUCAGUUGAGUUGUGAUGAGUGUGGGCGGACUGUACCUCUGACUACAUCAACUGUAAAUUGAAACCUGUAAAAAUGUACCUCUGAUGUAGCGCCCAUAUUUGAUGUACAGUAUAUACCUAUCAUGUUCAGCUAAGAUGAAACUAAACUGAAAUAUAAAGCAUGAAUAAAGUCACAUCGUAAGUAUUUAUUAAUCCAUAUUUAUUGAACAAAAGUCAAAAUUUAGUGGCAUCUACCCGUCAAAUUCUUUCAGAUAACCAAAGGCAUUUGAAACUUUUCUUUGCCUCAAAUUACUAUUAGAAUACAGCCAUAUCCUCUAAAAAAAACAUUAAACUAUACAGAUAAUGUAAGCCACGUGCUCCAUGGGAUUACUCUACCUGAUUAUACAACACAAAAUACAAGUCUUAAUUCGCUUACCUUAUAUCUUGCUCUCUGAUUAGUACAAAUAUCAAAUAUACUGAACAAAAAUGAAUUAAAAAAAACAUGGAAAGUGUUGUUCCCAUGUUUCAUGAGUUUAAAUAAAAUAUCCCAG
rnacentral:lncRNA from 1 species